AUUGAACGCUGGCGGCAGGCUUAACACAUGCAAGUCGAGCGAGCGGCGGACGGGAGUGUAAUGUCUGGGAAACUGCCUGAUGGAGGGGAAUAAAUACUGGAAACGGUAGCUAAUACCGCAUACCAUCAGAUGUUCCCAGAGGGGAUUAGCUAGUAGGUGGGGUAAUGGCUGCCCUGGGCGACGAUGCCUAGCUGGUCUGAGAGGAUGACCAGCCACACUGGAACUGAGACACGGGCCAGACUCCUACGGGAGGCAGCAGUGGGGAAUAUUGCACAAUGGGCGCAAGCCUGAUGCAGCCAUGCCGCGUGUGUGAAGAAGGCCUUCGGGUUGUAAAGCACUUUCAGCGAGGAGGCGUUACUCGCAGAAGAAGCACCGGCUAACUCCGUGCCAGCAGCCGCGGUAAUAC
rnacentral:rRNA from 1 species